ACAAAAAAAAAAAACAAAAACAAAAAUAAAAGAAUAAAAUGAAACGACAAAAACAUCAUUCUUGCCGUCUCCGCCUUCAGUUUCGCCUGAGAAAACAAUUUCUUAUUUUACCUGUCAGCCAAUGGAUCUCUUCCUUGAUACAUUUUCCUUUUCCUUCAUUAUUCUCAAUUCUACCUUCGAUUCCUAUUUCUUAUGAAUGUCUAAAUCUUCUGAGCUUAAUCCUAUGACCAUCAUAGUUUUACAGAGGAGAGAAACAAAAAAGAAUGGAAAGCAUUGUUAUGGGAUGUGAGAUUAACGCAUGCACGCAGUUCAAUUGCAACAGCAAAAGCCUCUUUAUAAUGGCUUAUCAAGCCUUGAUAUCAGAAACAUGUGUGAAACCAUCGGUGGCAGCCAUGACUUAUACGAAGGUAAAAGAAGAAUAAGAGAGUGUUUGGAUACACUUAUAAUAUAUCAAGGAUCCGAAUGAGAUUCUCCCAAACAGUUACGAUCCGCAUUCCAUAUACAAUUAAAUUUACCUUGUUGCCCUUAAAUUUUUUUUUUCCUCUUCUUCCUUUAUUUGCUCGUAGGGUCAAAUUAUAGAAUUUUUUGGCAAAGUUUUUUUUUUUUCUUCUUUUGUACUCCCGAGUUAAUAGUAUAGAUUUUCGUUAAAACCGUAGCCAACAGUCUUGUUUUCACACGUCUCCGAAACCAUUGAGAUAAGUAACCUCAUGCUUCAUUGUUUAUCGCUUCGUUCAAAGCAUAUUUAAUUAUUGUUUCAUGCAAUAUGUUUAUUACUACUAAAUAACAUCAAUGAAUCUAGUAAGUAUGUGGACACAGAUUCUUUUUCAUACAAAAAAAAAACCCUUUCUCUCUCGACGAGUCGCCCUAGCCGCCAAACACCAAAAAUUCAGAUCUGAGUUUGCCCUCUCCGGUGAGCGGCGCUCUUCGCCGGAGCCGUGAGAGGGCCUUUGUAGCUUCCCUUUAGGUUGGUUCUUGUCUUAGUUGCGGCCUCAGCUGUCUCCGGUGUUUCGAUUGUAAGAUCAGCUUGCUGCGGUUCUCGAUGGUUCUUCAAGUCAAGGGUUGAUUUUCCCGCCUUCUUCUCAGAGAGUGUGGAUCUCCCUUUCCCAGCGGUGGCAGAGGAGGGAAGACUUGUCUUCGUCAGAUCCAGCGUGAGCUAGGAUCUCGUCGUUUGACCUUCUCCUUUUUGUUUGCUUGGUUGUUGUUCUCAGUCUGGUAAGCUUUUGUUCUGAUCGAUUUUCUUCUCCGAGUUGCUAGAGGGUUAGUAGUUUAGUAUGGGUUUGCUAGAGGUAGAUGGAAUCGCUCUUUGGACGUUCUUAGUAUUACCGUUCUGUUUUAGUAGCCUUCGUUUGGGUUUUCGGCUCCUUGCUAAGCAGAGGUUUCGUUUUGAUUGAAUGUGCUGGUAGUCUCCAAAGUUUGUAGAGUUAUAUUCUUCUUGGUGUUGUUCGGUGUGGUGAUAGCUGUCUUGAGUAUUGCGUCGUUCUCGAUCAGUUUGGUGUUUCUUGAGAAGUUAGGCCUCUUUCCUUGUACUUGCUUUCGGGAUCUGUUGAGAUCUGUUUGCGUAUGAAAGGCUUUAGUUUGGCGUUUCCUUGGCGUACCAACGUCGUCGUCAUCUCCGGAAGCAGAGUUGCUUGCCGGCUUAUGAAGUCUUGAGAGAUCGGCUCUCACCAUGAUAGGAGGGGUUGUUGUUACUUCGGUUUGGCCGUGGGCAUCCUUGGUAAAGCUCAUUUGCUGGUGCUUCAGAAGAAGAGAUGCUUUGUUUUCUUUGUUAUACUGUCUCUUUUUAGGUUGUAAUACCGGUUACUUCUGUGUUUAGUUUAAGGUUUCGUUUUCUUUCGUUUUGGUUGUAGUAGUUCUUUCUUAGACUCCGGGGACAUCAAUGUCGUCCGCCGGCUUUAGCUUUGUAUUUCACCUUUGGUUUCACAACAAGUACUAAUAAAAAUUCCAGUUGACCAAAAAAAAAAAA